rnacentral:rRNA from 1 species
GACGAACGCUGGCGGAGGGAAGAAUAAAGGAAAGUAGAACGCUGAAGGAGGAGCUUGCUUAUCAGGAUGAGUUGCGAACGGGUGAGUAACGAGUAGGUAAAAUGCAUGGUAGCGGGGGAUAACUAUUGGAAACGAUAGCUAAUACCGCAUAACAGUAGAUGUUGCAUGACAUUUGCUUAAAAGGUGCAAUUGCAUCACUACCAGAUGGACCUGCGUUGUAUUAGCUAGUUGGUGAGGUAACGGCUCACCAAGGCGACGAUACAUAGCCGACCUGAGAGGGUGAUCGGCCACACUGGGACUGAGACACGGCCCAGACUCCUACGGGAGGCAGCAGUAGGGAAUCUUAGGCAAUGGACGGAAGUCUGACCGAGCAACGCCGCGUGAGUGAAGAAGGUUUUCGGAUCGUAAAGCUCUGUUGUAAGAGAAGAACGAGUGUGAGAGUGGAAAGUUCACACUGUGACGGUAUCUUACCAGAAAGGGACGGCUAACUACGUA